rnacentral:lncRNA from 1 species
UAUCUUCUAUUGUAGGUAAAGCCAUAAUCCAAAAGGGUAGUCUGAUUCCUAUGCUCAUAAGGAUGUAACUGCGAUUAACGAGGCCUAUACCGCUACUAACGAGACCUAGCUCUACCUCUCUACAAGUCGAGUGUUGGGUUAUAGGCUAUCAGAGGAUCCUACCAAACUACGGCCUCGAUGUGGCGCCCUUAGUUAACGGGAAAUCUGUCCCUCCGAGUUCCCGUGAAGCCGCGCUCAAGAGUGAAUAAAUGUAAUUGCAACUCACUCGAGAGGCAAGCUCAUCCAAUGGUAAUAAUGCCGGAAGAGAGAAAGAAGCUUUGGGGAAAGAGUAUUCGAGAGAAAAGAAAAAAACACACUAGUCCGCACGACCUUAAAUCAUGAAAUAUAAGAAUUGCAACCAUACUCUCUAUCUCGGCCAUAAUUAAGUAUAAGACUAUCUCGGCCAUAAUUAAGUAUAAGAAUUGAGACUAUACUAUCUCGGCUUGUGUACUUCGCAAUAACUUGGGAUCUAAUCCUAUAGAGAUGAGAAAUUGUAUUCCCGUAAAUGGGCAUCCUGAUGAUACUGAAUCGGCUCAAUAUGAAGAAGAAUCCAAUAUUCUUUAGCAAAUCGAUUCAUCCUAUUCUAGACUGAUUGUACGAAUCAAUUAUAUAUAUGGUUAUGUCUCUCCCUUAUGACUCGGCACUAGUGGAAUAAAUGGAAAUG